rnacentral:rRNA from 2 species
UACGGGGGGAGCAAGCGUUGUUCGGAUUUACUGGGCGUAAAGGGCGCGUAGGCGGCCACAACAAGUCACUUGUGAAAUCUCCGGGCUUAACCCGGUAGCGGCCAAGUGAUACUGUUGGGCUAGAGUGCGGAAGGGGCAACUGGAAUUCUCGGUGUAGCGGUGAAAUGCGUAGAUAUCGAGAGGAACACCUGCGGCGAAGGCGGGUUGCUGGGCCGACACUGACGCUGAGGCGCGAAAGCUAGGGGAGCGAACGGG